rnacentral:rRNA from 1 species
AUUGAACGCUGGCGGCAGGCCUAACACAUGCAAGUCGAACGAGUGGCGGACGGGUGGGUAAGGUCUGGGAACCUGCCCGAGGGAGGGGGAUAACUACUGGAAACGGAAGCUAAUACCGAAUACCCUCGGAGGGGCCCAGAUGGGAUUAGCUAGUGGGUGGGUUAACGGCUCACCUAGGCGACGAUCCCUAGCUGGUCUGAGAGGAUGACCAGCCACACUGGAACUGAGACACGGUCCAGGCUCCUACGGGAGGCAGCAGUGGGGAAUAUUGCACAAUGGGCGCAAGCCUGAUGCAGCCAGGCCGCGUGUAUGAAGAAGGCCUUCGGGUUGUAAAGUACUUUCAGCGAGGAGGCGUUACUCGCAGAAGAAGCACCGGCUAACUCCGUGCCAGCAGCCGCGGUAAUAC